rnacentral:sRNA from 1 species
CUUGGUCAUUUAGAGGAAGUAAAAGUCGUAACAAGGUUUCCGUAGGUGAACCUGCGGAAGGAUCAUUAGUGAAUUUAGGGUGCUCUUUUCAGCGGAAGCGAUUAGAGGCCUGACCUCCACUUAUCCUAACACUGUGCAUUUAUCCGAGUUUGUAAUCCUUGAGUUCACGCUCAAGUCUUACUCGUCUAUCAUCUUUAACUUUAGUCAAAGAAUGUAAAUAAAAUUUAAUAAAUAAAACUUUCAACAACGGAUCUCUUGGCUCUCGCAUCGAUGAAGAACGCAGCGAAAUGUGAUAAGUAAUGUGAAUUGCAGAAUUCAGUGAAUCAUCGAAUCUUUGAACGCACCUUGCGCUCUCUGGUAUUCCGGAGAGCAUGCCUGUUUGAGUGUCAUGGACUCUUCAACCCACCAGUUUCUUGCUAAACUGCGCUGGUGUUUGGUUUCUGAACGUUGCUGGUUCCUUGUUGAACUUCAGCUCGCUUAAAAUACAUUAGCAUCUCAAUUUCGAAACUUGGAUUGACUCAGCGUAAUAGACUUUUCGCUGAGGACACCUUCAGGGUGGCCAUGUUAGAUAACGAUUGAUGCUUAUAGCACUCUAUCUAGUCACUCUUAGAUUAGACCUCAGAUCAGGCAGGAUUACCCGCUGAACUUAAGCAUAUCAAUAAGCGGAGGAAAAGAAACUAACAAGGAUUCCCCUAGUAACGGCGAGUGAAGCGGGAAGAGCUCAAAUUUGUAAUCUGGCACCUUCGGUGUCCGAGUUGUAAUCUCGAGAAGUGUUUUCCGCGCCAGACCGCAUACAAGUCUGUUGGAAUACAGCGUCAUAGUGGUGAGAACCCCGUACAUGAUGCGGAUGCCUGGUGCUCUGUGAUACACUUUCGAAGAGUCGAGUUGUUUGGGAAU